ACGGCUAUAUGUUAAUGGUAAACAGGUUGUCUUCCAAACAAUAUAUAUCGAUUCGAUUUCGAUUAGCCGUA
rnacentral:tRNA from 3 species